rnacentral:rRNA from 1 species
CCUACGGGUGGCAGCAGUGAGGAAUAUUGGUCAAUGGGCGAGAGCCUGAACCAGCCAAGUCGCGUGAGGGAGUACUGCCCUAUGGGUUGUAAACCUCUUUUAUAUGGGAAUAAAAUGUUCCACGUGUGGGAUUUUGUAUGUACCAUAUGAAUAAGGAUCGGCUAACUCCGUGCCAGCAGCCGCGGUAAUACGGAGGAUCCGAGCGUUAUCCGGAUUUAUUGGGUUUAAAGGGAGCGUAGGUGGAUUGUUAAGUCAGUUGUGAAAGUUUGCGGCUCAACCGUAAAAUUGCAGUUGAAACUGGCAGUCUUGAGUACAGUAGAGGUGGGCGGAAUGCGUGGUGUAGCGGUGAAAUGCUUAGAUAUCACGAAGAACUCCGAUUGCGAAGGCAGCUCACUGGACUGCAACUGACACUGAGGCUCGAAAGUGUGGGUAUCAAACAGGAUUAGAUACCCUGGUAGUC